ACGAGUUAUUGAACAGGUUGUAGCUGGCCUUCAGGGGCAUGUGCACGCCUGGCUCAUCCACUCUUCAACCUCUGUGCACUUGUUGUAGGUCGGUGGAAGGGCAAGUUUAAGCGAUUAGACUUGCUUGGAAGCCUUCCUAUGUUUUUACAAACGCUUCAGUUUAAGAAUGUAUCUCUGCGUAUAACGCAUUUAUAUA
rnacentral:misc_RNA from 1 species